AGGGGUAUAGCUUAGUGGUAGAGUGUGUGCUUAGCAUGCAUGAGGUCCUGGGUUCGAUUUCCAGUACCUCCA